rnacentral:rRNA from 1 species
GUAGGGAAUAUUGCGCAAUGGACGAAAGUCUGACGCAGCGACGCCGCGUGAGUGAUGAAGGCCUUAGGGUCGUAAAGCUCUGUUGAAUGGGAAGAAAAAAAUGACGGUACCAUUCGAGGAAGGACCGGCUAACUUCGUGCCAGCAGCCGCGGUAAUACGAGGGGUCCUAGCGUUGUUCGGAAUCAUUGGGCGUAAAGGGUGUGUAGGUGGCCAUGUAAGUCAGGUGUGAAAGCCGCGGGCUCAACCCGGGAAGUGCACGUGAUACUGCGUGGCUUGAGUACCGAAGAGGGUAGUGGAAGUCCAGGUGUAGUGGUGAAAUACGUAGAUAUCUGGUGGAACACCGGUGGCGAAGGCGGCUACCUGGUCGAGUACUGACACUGAGACACGAAAGCAUGGGGAUCAAACAGGAUUAGAUACCCUAGUAGUCC